AAGUCGUAACAAGGUUUCCGUAGGUGAACCUGCGGAAGGAUCAUUAUUGAAUUAUGUUUUCUAGACGGGUUGUAGCUGGCUCUUAGGAGCAUGUGCACGCCUGUCUGGACUUCAUUUUCAUCCACCUGUGCACCUUUUGUAGUCUUUGUUGGGUAUGGAGGAAGUGGUCAGCCUUAUCAGCUCUCGCUGGAUAUGAGGACUUGCAGUGUGAAAGCAGUGCUGUCCGCUACUUGGCCAUGGAAUCUGUUUCCCGUCAGAGUCUAUGUUGUUCAUUAUACCCUAUAAAUUGUUAUUGAAUGUUUUUGCAUGGGCUUCUAUGCCUAUGAAAAUUGUAAUACAACUUUCAGCAACGGAUCUCUUGGCUCUC
rnacentral:misc_RNA from 1 species